rnacentral:rRNA from 1 species
AUUCCUAGUGUAGCGGUGAAAUGCGUAGAUAUAGGAGGGAACACCAGUGGCGAAGGCGGCUUACUGGACGAUAACUGACGUUGAGGCUCGAAAGCGUGGGAGCAAAACAGGAUUAGAUACCUGGGUAGUCCACGCCGUAAACGAUGAAUACUAGGUGUCGGGAAGCAAAGCUGUUCGGUGCCGUAGCAAACGCAGUAAGUAGUCCACCUGGGGAGUACGUUCGCAAGAAUGAAACUCAAAGGAAUUGACGGGGACCCGCACAAGCGGUGGAGCAUGUGGUUUAAUUCGAAGCAACGCGAAGAACCUUACCAAGUCUUGACAUCUUUCUGACCGGCAAGUAACGGUACCUUUUCUUCGGAGCAGGAGUGACAGGUGGUGCAUGGUUGUCGUCAGCUCGUGUCGUGAGAUGUUGGGUUAAGUCCCGCAACGAGCGCAACCCUUAUCUUUAGUAGCCAGCGGUUCGGCCGGGCACUCUAGAGAGACUGCCAGGGAUAACCUGGAGGAAGGCGGGGAUGACGUCAAAUCAUCAUGCCCCUUAUGAGCAGGGCUACACACGUGCUACAAUGGCGUAAACAAAGGGAAGCAGAGCCGCGAAGUCGAGCAAAUCUCAAAAAUAACGUCUCAGUUCGGACUGUAGUCUGCAACUCGACUACAUGAAGCUGGAAUCGCUAGUAAUCGCGGAUCAGAAUGUUGCGGUGAAUACGUUCCCGGGUCUUGUACACACCACCGGUCACACCAUGGGAGUCAGGAACGCCCGAAGUCAGUGACCCAACCGUAAGGAAGGAGC